rnacentral:rRNA from 1 species
GCACUUUCAGUGUCCGAGUUGUAAUUUGAAGAAGGUAUCUUUGGGUCUGGCUCUUGUCUAUGUUUCUUGGAACAGAACGUCACAGAGGGUGAGAAUCCCGUGCGAUGAGAUGUCCCAGACCUAUGUAAAGUUCCUUCGAAGAGUCGAGUUGUUUGGGAAUGCAGCUCUAAGUGGGUGGUAAAUUCCAUCUAAAGCUAAAUAUUGGCGAGAGACCGAUAGCGAACAAGUACAGUGAUGGAAAGAUGAAAAGAACUUUGAAAAGAGAGUGAAAAAGUACGUGAAAUUGUUGAAAGGGAAGGGCUUGAGAUCAGACUUGGUAUUUUGUAUGUUACUCUCUCGGGGGUGGCCUCUACAGUUUACCGGGCCAGCAUCAGUUUGAGCGGUAGGAUAAGUGCAAAGAAAUGUGGCACUGCUUCGGUAGUGUGUUAUAGUCUUUGUCGAUACUGCCAGCUUAGACUGAGGACUGCGGCUUCGGCCUAGGAUGUUGGCAUAAUGAUCUUAAGUCGCCC